rnacentral:rRNA from 1 species
UGGCUCGGCCUACCAGGCUAUGACGGGUAGCUGGUCUGAGAGGACGAUCAGCCACACUGGGACUGCGACACGGCCCAGACUCCUACGGGAGGCAGCAGUUGGGAAUUUUGGGCAAUGGGCGAAAGCCUGACCCAGCGACACCGCGUGGGGGACGAAGGCCUUCGGGUUGUAAACCCCUGUCAGGAGGGACGAAGCUGAAAGGGGACGGUACCUCCAGAGGAAGCCCCGGCUAACUACGUGCCAGCAGCCGCGGCCGA